AUUGAACGCUGGCGGCAGGCCUAACACCUGCAAGUCGAGCGGAGCGGCGGACGGGUGAGUAAUUCCUAGGAAUCUGCCUGGUAGUGGGGGAUAACGUCCGGAAACGAGCGCUAAUCCCGCAUACUAUCAGAUGAGCCUAGGUCGGAUUAGCUAGUUGGUGGGUUAAAGGCCUGCCAAGGCGACGAUCCGUAACUGGUCUGAGAGGAUGAUCAGUCACUCUGGAACUGAGACACGGUCGAGGCUCCUACGGGAGGCAGCAGGGAGGAAUAUUGGACAAGUGGGGGAAGCCUGAUCCAGCCAUGCCGCGUGUGUGAAGAAGUUCCGAGGAUGGUAAAGCACUUUAAGUUGUGAGGCGUUACCAACAGAAUAAGCACCGGCUAAAUGCGGGCAAGCAGCGGGGGUAAUU
rnacentral:rRNA from 1 species